rnacentral:rRNA from 1 species
AUUGAACGCUGGCGGCAUGCCUUACACAUGCAAGUCGAACGGCAGCACGGGAGCAAUCCUGGUGGCGAGUGGCGAACGGGUGAGUAAUAUAUCGGAACGUGCCCAGUCGUGGGGGAUAACGUAACGAAAGCUACGCUAAUACCGCAUACGAUCUAUGGAUGAAAGCGGGGGAUCGCAAGACCUCGCGCGAUUGGAGCGGCCGAUAUCAGAUUAGGUAGUUGGUGAGGUAAAGGCUCACCAAGCCGACGAUCUGUAGCUGGUCUGAGAGGACGACCAGCCACACUGGGACUGAGACACGGCCCAGACUCCUACGGGAGGCAGCAGUGGGGAAUUUUGGACAAUGGGCGCAAGCCUGAUCCAGCAAUGCCGCGUGCAGGAUGAA